UACGUAGGUGGCAAGCGUUGUCCGGAAUUACUGGGCGUAAAGAGCGCGCAGGCGGCUGGUCAAGUCCGAUGUGAAAGCUCCCGGCUUAACUGGGAAAUUGCAUCGGAAACUGAUCGGCUUGAAGGUGGGAGAGGGUAGUGGAAUUCCCGGUGUAGUGGUGAAAUGCGCAGAUAUCAGGAGGAACACCGGUGGCGAAGGCGGUUCUCUGGGCCUUACCUGACACUGAGGAGCGAAAGCGUGGGGAGCGAACAGG
rnacentral:rRNA from 1 species